AAUGAACGCUGGCGGCGUGCUUAACACAUGCAAGUCGUACGAGAAACCCCGGCUUGCCGGGGGAGUAAAGUGGCGCACGGGUGAGUAACGCGUGGGUAAUCUACCCUCGAAUUGGGGAUAACACACCGAAAGGUGGGCUAAUACCGAAUAAGACCACGACCUCCACGGGGGUUGCGGUCAAAGAUGGCCUCUGCUUGCAAGCUGUCGUUUGAGGAUGAGCCCGCGUACCAUUAGCUUGUUGGUGGGGUAAUGGCCUACCAAGGAAACGAUGGUUAGCUGGUCUGAGAGGAUGGCCAGCCACACUGGAACUGGAACACGGUCCAGACUCCUACGGGAGGCAGCAGUGAGGAAUUUUGCGCAAUGGGGGAAACCCUGACGCAGCAACGCCGCGUGAGUGAAGAAGGCCUUCGGGUUGUAAAGCUCUGUCAAGUGGGAAGAACCUUUUUCGGCCGAAUACGCCGAGAAACUGACGGUACCUCUGAAGGAAGCACCGGCUAACUCCGUGCCAGCCGCCGCCGUAA
rnacentral:rRNA from 1 species